rnacentral:rRNA from 1 species
UACGUAGGGUGCAAGCGUUGUCCGGAUUUAUUGGGCGUAAAGAGCGUGUAGGCGGCCAGGUAGGUCCGUUGUGAAAACUCGAGGCUCAACCUCGAGACGUCGGCGGAAACCCUCUGGCUAGAGUCCGGAAGAGGAGAGUGGAAUUCCUGGUGUAGCGGUGAAAUGCGCAGAUAUCAGGAAGAACACCCGUGGCGAAGGCGGCUCUCUGGGACGGUACUGACGCUGAGACGCGAAAGCGUGGGGAGCAAACAGG